CGCCCCCCCGUUUUUUUCGGACGCCCUGAGUAACACGUGGGUAACCUGCCUGUAAGACUGGGAUAACUCCGGGAAACCGGAGCUAAUACCGGAUAGUUCCUUGAACCGCAUGGUUCAAGGAUGAAAGACGGUUUCGGCUGUCACUUACAGAUGGACCCGCGGCGCAUUAGCUAGUUGGUGAGGUAACGGCUCACCAAGGCAACGAUGCGUAGCCGACCUGAGAGGGUGAUCGGCCACACUGGGACUGAGACACGGCCCAGACUCCUACGGGAGGCAGCAGUAGGGAAUCUUCCGCAAUGGACGAAAGUCUGACGGAGCAACGCCGCGUGAGUGAUGAAGGUUUUCGGAUCGUAAAGCUCUGUUGUUAGGGAAGAACAAGUGCAAGAGUAACUGCUUGCACCUUGACGGUACCUAACCAGAAAGCCACGGCUAACUACGUGCCAGCAGCCGCGGUAAUACGUAGGUGGCAAGCGUUGUCCGGAAUUAUUGGGCGUAAAGGGCUCGCAGGCGGUUUCUUAAGUCUGAUGUGAAAGCCCCCGGCUCAACCGGGGAGGGUCAUUGGAAACUGGGAAACUUGAGUGCAGAAGAGGAGAGUGGAAUUCCACGUGUAGCGGUGAAAUGCGUAGAGAUGUGGAGGAACACCAGUGGCGAAGGCGACUCUCUGGUCUGUAACUGACGCUGAGGAGCGAAAGCGUGGGGAGCGAACAGGAUUAGAUACCCUGGUAGUCCACGCCGUAAACGAUGAGUGCUAAAUGUUAGGGGGUUUCCGCCCCCUUAGUGCUGCAGCUAACGCAUUAAGCACUCCGCCUGGGGAGUACGGUCGCAAGACUGAAAUCAAAGAAAUUGACGCGGGCCGCACAAGCGGUGGAGCAUGUGGUUUAAUUCAAGCAACACGAAGAAACUUACAGGUCGUGGACUUCCUCUGACAACCUAGAGGAUAAGGCUUUGCCUUCAGGGACAGAGUGACAUGAUAGUUGCAUGGUUAGUUAUCGACUCAUUUCCUGAAUAGAUAGUUUAGAUACUGCUAAGUGCAACAACCUUUAUCUUAGCUGGCAGCAUUCACUGUGGCAGUCGUAAGGUACUGGCCGGUACGACGAACGAACAGGAAUGAGUCGAUCACAAUGUCCCAGUUAGACCUUGGUCAUCGUCAGUAUCACAUGACCUGAUGCUCGAC
rnacentral:rRNA from 2 species